rnacentral:rRNA from 1 species
UACAGAGGGUGCAAGCGUUAAUCGGAAUGACUGGGCGUAAAGGGCGUGUAGGCGGUUAAUUAAGUCAGAUGUGAAAUGGCAGGGCUUAACCUUGUCAGGUCAUUUGAUACUGGUUGACUAGAGAUUAGGAGAGGGAAGUGGAAUUUCCGGUGUAGCGGUGAAAUGCGUAGAUAUCGGAAGGAACAUCAGUGGCGAAGGCGACUUCCUGGCCUAAAACUGACGCUGAGGCGCGAAAGCGUGGGGAGCAAACAGGAUUAGAAACCCCGGUAGU